CACAUUUAUUGUUUGUUUUUAGCUUGGACGCUUGCUGGCUAAGUCUAGCUAGCGUUCGCAUCAAAGCUUACCGCUAUUAUUAAAUCGGACAAACAACUAUAUUGUUUCUUAUUUAUCUUUCAUUAAGCGACACAUUUGAUUCUUUUUUUUUUUCUCCGACAUUAAUGUCAUCCGAUGUACUCCUGUCCGGUGUGGUUUUCGAAAGCUAGUUAGCGUUAAUAUCAGCUAACGUUAAUUUUAGGUGGUUCUGUUUUGUCGGUUUUAUUCUCUAGCUAGCUAGCUAAGAGUUUUUACAACGAUUUGUAGCUACCUAUCUUUUGUUGGAAGUAACACGUUUGAAGAAAAUUACUCUGUUACCAGUUAAAAGGCAAGGAAGACAACAUGCCGGUACAUUCUUGAGAAAAGGAAGAGAGUAACCGGUACGAGGAGAUGGAAGUCGAUUAUCCCGAACAAGAUGGGAGCAGUUCAGACGAGGAUGACACUGAGCUUGUCCGUGUCAGAGGAUGGGGAUAGCUCGGAGAUGGACGAUGAGGACUGUGAAAGGAGAAGGAUAUAGUGCCUUGAUGAAAUGACAAAUCUGGAGAAACAAUUUGGAGACCUGAAAGACCAGUUGUACAAGGAUAGGUUGAGUCAGGUGGAUGCUAAACUCCAGGAGGUGAUUGCGGGCAAGGCUUCGGAGUACCUGGACCUCUGGCAAAUCUGCAGGAGAACAUGCAGAUCAGAACAAAGGUUGCGGAGCUCUGGAAUGAUGAGCUGCAGUCAAGGAAGAACAAGAGGAAAGAUCCAUUUAGUCCAGACAAAAAUAAAAAGCCAGUUGUGUCAGACAUCCUAUUUCAUCAUUCAAGUCUCAACAGAAAUUAGUCUUGCAUGCAAGAUGGUUUUUUGAACAAUCUUAGUCUGUUGUUGUCAUGUGUACUUUUACUUGUCCCCCCCACACCACUUCCUUGUACAUACUAGAAUUUACUUAACAUUCGUACCACCAUAUAUUAUCUACAUGUUAAAAGACUUGGAUAAACUCCAGGACUGAACAGCAAUCAGAAAGGUACCUUGCCUCGUAGAUGCAUAGCAUGGUUUGGAUUUAUGAUGAUUAUGAUCAUAUUUUAAUAAAUAUAUAUCUUACAGGCUGUGGCUACUUUUGGACCUCACAGAGGUAAGACUAAUGUCUCCACCAAUAAGAAUGAAAAGCAGCAGCAUAAUGCUCGAUCAGAAGAGGGAAAGUUGUUUUAUGAUGGAGAAUGGUACUGCCGUGGACAGACGAUUUGCAUUGACAAGAAAGUGCCAUAAUAACCAUGGCGAGGUGUGGUUUAAACGACUUGACAGCAGCAAAUCUAAGCUGUACAUAUCUCAACUCCAGAAAGGCAAAUACACCAUCAAACACUCCUAAUUCCACAGGUCAACUUGCACCACUCCUUGUCCCUCUCCAAAGCUCUUCAAAGACCCCCAUGGUGCCAUCUUUUGCCCAGUUUGAUAUUUUCUAUAGUACAAGGAAGUCUGAAUGGCGUGUUAUCUAUACUUAAAAGACAAUUUAUAUGAAAUACUCUCUUUUUGGGGGGGUUAAUUUGAAGAGAUAGGUUUGGGUCCUCUUAAUUGUAUCAUGUCACGUGUGUGUCUGUAGGUGUAAAUAUAAUUAGAGUGAGCUCCAAAAGUAUUGGGACUGAUACAUUUGUUGUUGUUUUGGCUCUGUACUCCAGCACUUUGGAUUUGAAAUGAUACAAUGAUUGAGGUUAAGAUGCUGACUGUCAGAUUUAAUUUGAGGGUAUUUUCAUCCAUAUUGGGUGAACCGUUUAGAAAUUAAAGCACUUUUUGUACAUA